CCAAGUUAAAGGAACCCUGUGGAGCAAAGACACAAAUCUUUAAUCCUCUGGUUAAAGUUGACCUUCUUCCAUCCAGACAGCUUGUGAGAGCUGCUAGCUCUGCUCCUUUCCCCUCUCUUUUCGCGAUCUUUGGAGGUGUAUCAGCCUGAAGUAAUUUGUAUAACCCAGACCAGUUGCCCUGGUGGAAGACAGGAGAUGGAGAGUAUUCCUCUAACGUCCAAGAAUAGUUAGGAAGAUCAUACUGAUGCCAAGUGUACUGCAAGGGAUGGAAAACAGAGACAGAGCAGAGGUGUUCCUAUAGAUAUUUAAAAAGACCCACAAGUGACAAAAAGGAUUGAAAAAGUAGCCCCAAAUAACUGUGGCUCCUGAAUGUCGUCAUGUGGAAAUGAGGAAAAUUCCAAGUGGAGUAAAAGUUUCCCAGCAACCACUCAGCCCUGAAGUAGGACUUACCAGUGGUGGAAGGACCUGGUUGAUGUCAGCCAAUCAGAAUGAACAGCUUUCUGUGCCCAGGAAAGA